rnacentral:misc_RNA from 1 species
GAUGAAGAACGCAGCGAAAUGCGAUAGGUAAUGUGAAUUGCAGAAUUCAGUGAGUCAUCGAAUCUUUGAACGCACAUUGCGCCCUGUGGUAUUCCGCAGGGCAUGCCUGUUCGAGCGUCAUUUCAACCCUCAAGCCCCGCUUGGUGUUGGGCCCCGCCCGCUGUGGCCGGCCCUAAAGACAGUGGCGGCGCCGCCUGGCCCUCAGCGUAGUACAUCUCUCGCUCCAGGGUCCGGUGGCCGCCUGCCAGAACCCCCCAACUCUGUGGUUGACCUCGGAUCAGGUAGGGAUACCCGCUGAACUUAAGCAUAUCAAUAAGCGGAGGA